rnacentral:rRNA from 1 species
GCCAACGAUCAUACCACGUUGAAUACACCAGUUCUUGUUAGAUCACUGAAGUUAAGCAACGUCGGGCGUGGUCAGUACUUAGAUGGGUGACCGCUUGGGAACACCACGUAUCGUUGGCUCAU